rnacentral:rRNA from 1 species
UACGAAGGGGGCUAGCGUUGUUCGGAAUUACUGGGCGUAAAGCGCGUGUAGGCGGGUCUUUAAGUCAGGGGUGAAAUGCCAAGGCUCAACCUUGGAACUGCCCUUGAUACUGGAGAUCUUGAGUCCGGGAGAGGUGAGUGGAACUGCGAGUGUAGAGGUGAAAUUCGUAGAUAUUCGCAAGAACACCAGUGGCGAAGGCGGCUCACUGGCCCGGUACUGACGCUGAGGUGCGAAAGCGUGGGGAGCAAACAGG